rnacentral:rRNA from 1 species
UUUUCCUACGGGGCGCAGCAGUGAGGAAUAUUGGUCAAUGGGCGAGAGCCUGAACCAGCCAAGUCGCGUGAGGGAAGACGGUCCUAUGGAUUGUAAACCUCUUUUGCCGGGGAGCAAGGGCCGGGACGCGUCCCGGCCCGGAGAGUACCCGGAGAAAAAGCAUCGGCUAACUCCGUGCCAGCAGCCGCGGUAAUACGGAGGAUGCGAGCGUUAUCCGGAUUUAUUGGGUUUAAAGGGUGCGUAGGCGGGCUUUUAAGUCAGCGGUAAAAAUUCGGGGCUCAACCCCGUCCGGCCGUUGAAACUGG